GCUCCGUAGGUGAACCUGCGGAGGGAUCAUUACAGAGUUCAUGCUCUACCGGGUUGAUCUCCCACCCUAUUGUAUUAUUACUUAGUUGCUUUGGCGGGCCGUCAGGCUCCGGACGACUACCGGCCCCGGCUGGUACGCGGCCGCCAGAUGACCCAAAACCCUGAAUAUUAAUGUUGACUUCGUACUAUAGAAUAGUUAAAACUUUCAACAACGGAUCUCUUGGUUCUG
rnacentral:misc_RNA from 1 species